CAAUAGCGUAUAUUAAAGUUGUUGCAGUUAAAAAGCUCGUAGUUGGAUUUGUGGCGUACGGUGGGUUCCGGGCACUUGUUGUCUGAGUAACUUGCUGUUGCCAUCCUUGGGUGGAACCUGUGUGGCAUUAGGUUGUAGUGCAGGGGAUGCCCAUCAUUUACUGUGAAAAAAUUAGAGUGUUCAAAGCAGGCUUAUGCCGUUGAAUAUAUUAGCAUGGAAUAAUGAGAUAGGACUUUUUUGCUAUUUUGUUGGUUUGCGCAAAGAGGUAAUGAUUAAUAGGGACAGUUGGGGGUAUUCGUAUUCCAUUGUCAGAGGUGAAAUUCUUGGAUUUUUGGAAGACGAACUACUGCGAAAGCAUUUACCAAGGAUGUUUUCAUUAA
rnacentral:rRNA from 1 species